rnacentral:rRNA from 1 species
CUAACACGUGGAUAACCUGCCCUUGGGACCUGCAUAACCCCGGGAAACUGGGGAUAAUUCGGGAUAACGCAUAUGUGCUGGAAUGCUUUAUGCGUAAAAAGGAUUCGUCCGCCCAAGGAUGGGUCUGCGGCCUAUCAGGUAGUAGUGGGUGUAAUGUACCUACUAUCCGACCACGGGUACGGGUUGUGAGAGCAAGAGCCCGGAGAUGGAUUCUGAGACAUGAAUCCAGGCCCUACGGGGCGCAGCAGGCGCGAAAACUUUACAAUGCGCGGAAACCGUGAUAAGGGGACACCGAGUGUCAGCAUCAUAUGCUGGCUGUCCAGGUGUGUAAAAUACACCUGUUAGCAAGGGCCGGGCAAGACCGGUGCCAGCCGCCGCGGUAACACCGGCGGCCCGACUGUUGAUCCUGAUUAUUGGGUCUAAAGGGUCCGUAGCCGGUUUGGUCAGUCCUCCUGGAAAUCUGAUAGCUCAACUAUUAGGCUAUCGGGGGAUACUACCAGACUUGCAACCGGGACAGGUAAGAGGUACUACAGGGGUAGGAGUGACAUCUUGGGUCCCUGUGGUACCACCUGUGGCGAAUCCGUCUUACCAUAAGGGUUC